GCCUUCGUGAUGUAAUUGAAAGCAUACUCGGCUCGUAUUCGAGAGGUCCAGGUUCGAAUCCCAGCGAAGGCA
rnacentral:tRNA from 1 species